AAGUCGUAACAAGGUAACCGUAGGUGAACCUGCGGUUGGAUCAUUAACAAAAAUGUUAUUCUGCCAUGCUCUUUCGGGGGUUAUGGUAGGGUAAAAACACCAUUUUGUCAACUGUUACGGUAGUCUAGUACUAUCAUUUUUCAACUACUCUUAUUGUAAAAACUAAACUAAAGUUGUAUUACUUUAAAAAAUUAAUAUUAAACAACUUUUGGCAACGGAUCUCUAGGCUCUU
rnacentral:misc_RNA from 1 species